CCCCUGUAUAUAAAAAAUGUCAAGGUUACCUCACGUUUAAGUUCUACAGAGUGCGACGCUUAUCAGAAACACCAAAGAGGCAUUUCUAUAUGAAAACCCCUCGACAACAAGCGGAGCCCUAAAGAAACAGCCCCCAAAUAACAAGGCUACGGGUUGUGGGUUUCUGGAGAUGAUGUAUAGAAUAUGUAUCACAGCGUUUGAAAACAAGACGCUUGGUGAUUGGACUCUUACCAAGUUAACUGAGUCAUACUUGUAUCGUUUAAGCCUGCAUCUUGAAGCAACCUGGAAAGAAAUGGAGUGAAACGGUUUUAAGUAAUAAUCGAGGGAAAUUAAAGAGAAAAUUACUGUAGUUAGAGCGUUAUCAAGGUGGGAACUAAGCACUAGCAGGUAAAGAGAGAUUCAUCUUUGCAAGCAUCCGCUCAUCAAAACUGACAGAAAAAGUACGUACUGAGACAACGAACGAUAAGGAUGGUAUACAACCAGAUAAUAGUUGAGAGCUUCUAAAAUCUUCAUUUCCAUUUCAAGUAUGUCUUUGACCUCAUAUCUAUACUUAUCAUCUAAAUCUGUAAAAGAAAUGUGGCAGAUUGCCGUCAGUGCUUCAAUAUAAAUAGAACGACAAGUAAAUCAUAACAAAAAUUGGAGAAAGGCAUCUAUUAUUUCCAGGAACAAUUACUUACAAAUCUUUUUUUAUAUAAAAUACUAGAAGUUUAGCUUGCCUUGUGCUUUCUUCCGCUUUAGAUGCCAGGCACAGGCAGGUUGGAGCUACGAGACGUGGAUCAUACAUACUCUUCCUGAAGCAAUAAUGAAACGUUAUGCUUGGAAAGAAAAAUCACAACUAAAAUUCAAAGUGCUGCGAUGAUAAAUUACUAAACGGCAAGACCAAAGAAAGGAAUGCCAACAAUAACUGUGCAGUGAAUUGAGACAAAAUUGCGUUGUGAACCCAGAAUACAACAAUCAGAACAAUGCAAUCCGUACAAUAAAGAUUGAACACCCAUACGCAUGCAUACAUGGCACUGAACUUUUGGGGGGAAUUAAGUACUACAAAGUUGAUAAGUUCAGACACUCAUCUAAACAACAUCUGAUAAAUAAGUGGGGUGAACAAUAUGCAGAUGAAAACAAACAAACAACAGGCACGUUCAAUCAUGAUUGACAAUCAAUGAGUCGAGGAUAUGCGUAGGUUAGCUUAGCUAUUGAGAUAAAUCAGUUCAGAGACAGAAAAAAAAAACGUAGCUUAGCUAAAGAAAUUAUUAACUUGACAGAUAUGAACUCAGUUAUGAAAGGAAGGAUUUGGGGGUUAAGUUUAACAGCCUCAGGACUAUCAAAAGAGAACAACCACAAAUAAGCAAUAAGCCAUGAACUUAUGGCUAGUGACUGAGCAUUUCUCGUACAAUAUGACAAUUAGUUAACGUACUUGGUGUACACACGUCUCAUAUAUGUAACUGCGGUAGCUACAACCCUGAAACCAGUAAAUAGGAAAUCAGAUAGAUAGGCAGAAGUGAAUUAAGGAUUUUCCAGAACAUAAGCAGAUGAGGAAAUUAGCCCGACCUUUGUCUCA
rnacentral:lncRNA from 1 species